rnacentral:miRNA from 1 species
CUGGUUUCUCUCAUUUGUGCU